rnacentral:rRNA from 1 species
CCUUGACAUACUAAGAACUUUCCAGAGAUGGAUUGGUGCCUUCGGGAACUUAGAUACAGGUGCUGCAUGGCUGUCGUCAGCUCGUGUCGUGAGAUGUUGGGCUAAGUCCCGNAACGAGCGCAACCUUUUCCUAUUUGCCAGCGGGUCAUGCCGGGAACUUUAAGGAUACUGCCAGUGACAAACUGGAGGAAGGCGGGGACGACGUCAAGUCAUCAUGGCCCUUACGGCCAGGGCUACACACGUGCUACAAUGGUCGGUACAAAGGGUUGCUACCUCGCGAGAGGAUGCUAAUCUCAAAAAGCCGAUCGUAGUCCGGAUCGCAGUCUGCAACUCGACUGCGUGAAGUCGGAAUCGCUAGUAAUCGCGGAUCAGAAUGCCGCGGUGAAUACGUUCCCGGGCCUUGUACACACCGCCCGUCACACCAUGGGAGUUUGUUGCACCAGAAGUAGGUAGUCUAACCGCAAGGAGGACGCUUACCACGGUGUGGCCGAUGACUGGGGUGAAGUCGUAACAAGGUAGGCGUAGAUGA